rnacentral:lncRNA from 1 species
AAGACCACUUUACUAAAAAAUAUGGCUGGUGACUCUGAAGCAACAUCAGUGACUAGCUAGACAUAGAGACAGGUAUCUGGUUUGGGGAAGAGGGCAAUGCACAGAAACUGGGAGCUUGUCAGCACCUCUUCAAGGUGACAUUGCUAGACAGAGUAACUAUACCUCCACUUUUAACUACCCGCUCAUUCAGGGCUAGACCAGGCUAGCCCUCCGGACAGGCUAAUUAUUUCAAGCCCUUUCAAACCAUUAUUUUAUCUUCCUUUAUUUUAUGCUGCACUAGAGAAGACAAUUUUUAUGAAUGCAAAUUGUAUGUCUCUCCAUCAGUUCAAUAAGGGAUUUAUUUCAUGAACUAAACCUAUGCUGUUAACUGAUUUAGAAUUGUCCUUGAUUUUGCUCAUUUCCAGUCACCUCUAACUGAUAAUAUUAGGUCCCUGAGUAUACAUUAAAGGCAGAAGAAAAUUACAGAUUAGAAGGCUGAUUCAAAAAUGUUUA